CUAAUACCGAUAUGACCGUCUGCCGCAUGGUGGAUGGUGUAAAGCUCCGGCGGUGCAGGAUGAGCCCGCGGCCUAUCAGCUUGUUGGUGAGGUAGUGGCUCACCAAGGCGACGACGGGUAGCCGGCCUGAGAGGGCGACCGGCCACACUGGGACUGAGACACGGCCCAGACUCCUACGGGAGGCAGCAGUGGGGAAUAUUGCACAAUGGGCGAAAGCCUGAUGCAGCGACGCCGCGUGAGGGAUGACGGCCUUCGGGUUGUAAACCUCUUUCAGCAGGGAAGAAGCGAAAGUGACGGUACCUGCAGAAGAAGCGCCGGCUAACUACGUGCCAGCAGCCGCGGUAAUACGUAGGGCGCAAGCGUUGUCCGGAAUUAUUGGGCGUAAAGAGCUCGUAGGCGGCUUGUCACGUCGGUUGUGAAASCCCGGGGCUUAACCCCGGGUCUGCAGUCGAUACGGGCAGGCUAGAGUUCGGUAGGGG
rnacentral:rRNA from 1 species